GGUUUCUGAAGGACAUAGCAAAUGCCAGUAUGAAUGAGGAAAUUUACAAAGGAAGAAUUCUGGAAGGAACAAUACAACAUCCUUUCCUGUGUGGCCGUAAGUGAGAAAUCCUGGGCCAAUGUCUAAGGUCACUGAGAUCUGCCUGUAUACAGGAGAGACUCUGAAGGCUGUGUAGAGGAGCCUGAGCCUUCAACUGACCAACCUGAGCUGCAACCAGCCCUCGAGAACAAACUGAGUGUAUCACCAUCAACAAAUGAUCACUUGCAGUGGGCCUGGUAGCACAAUCCUGUAAUCCCAGGACUCUGGGAGGCUGAAGCAGGAAGAUCACAAAUUUCAGCCCAGGUAGGGCAACUCAGUGAGACUGUGACUCAAAAUUUAAAAAGGACUGGGGAUAUAGCUCAGUGUGAAGGCCCUGGGUUCAUUCUCCAGCAUCCCUAUCCAAAAACCCACCCUAAAUGACCACUUGCAAUCAAUUCUGAUGACUGAGAAAACUAAUUCUGAAUUUCAAUUAAGCAAAAUGUCAAUGUUCUCCAAAAGAAUUCUAUUCUUCUAGUGAUUACAAAAAAUUAUUCUCAACCACUAUAGUCUACAUUUUUUACUUAUGUAAGAAUUUUUCCAAUGCAGGUGUGUCUUCUAAAUUACAAAGGAUGUAUGAUGUCUUUGCAUUGUAUGCACAUCAAAUUUUCACUAUCAUCUGCUCUUCUUCAGCAAAAUUCUUUUUUCUUUGGGUAUGGGAUAUUGAAUUCGGGUCCUUGCGCUUGAGCAGCAGGCCGUGAAACCUCUGAGCUAAAUCCCCGGCCCAGCAAAUUCUUAUUUAUAACCAACUGCCUUCUAUAAAAUAGCAAGAUAAAAAACUAUACCACUUACGCCU